GAUGGAGCCGACUGUUAUCGUCUGCUACUUUGUCUGUCCGGUUAGGAGAGAAUUCGUCGAUGAUGCAGAACAGGGGAGAAAUAUACAAUUUGAGGACAAGUUUUGCAGCAUAAAGGUGUGGCAUCUGCGCCACGCAGAUGGUCUUUAUUUAUGCAUUGGCGUCAGGAGGUGGAGACGGCAUCAUAAAAUUGUCAGAUAUUUGUAUCUAUAAUCGCAAAAGUUGGCGAUUUUGUUUUGCUUUAACGGGGCCCGUCUCCUGGUUUACGUGUGCGUCAUCGGCAGGAUGAGGCCGGAUUUUUGUAUUUGCUGGUUUGCCUGUCCGGUUUGUAUCUUUCUGUGUGUCCUUGAUUAAUUUUGUAUUCUGUUAUUAUUAAUUUUCCUUUCCACACAGAUUAUCAGGAAAUCAUUGAAGAAACGGUACUGAGGAAAUUUAUACAAUUUGGAGACGGAUUUUAAUUCUUUUUAAUAUGAUGUCAGCUCCGGGAUUGUGAUCCUUUUUAGUGCAGUGGCACCAGGAAGUGGAGACGGCGUUGGCUCGUCUUCUCUUGUUGGUUGCGUUGGAUCGCCAGUUGGCUGUGUUUAUUGAGGUAAGUGCUUUAUUUAAUUGUCUUUGUUUAUUUUCUUAUUGGGUU